AUGGGCGUCCUCGCGCGCGCCGUGCUGCUGGCCGUAGUCGCCGCGCUGUGGUGCCGUGCCUCGGGCUCGGAGGCGGGCGGCGCCGACGUGCUGAGUCGGGCGAAGCGGCCCGAGUUCGCGGCGUGGAUGGCCGGCGUCAGGAGGGCCAUCCACGAGCGGCCCGAGCUGGCGUUCGAGGAGCACGAGACGAGCAGGCUGGUGAGGAGGGAGCUGGACGCCAUGGGCGUGCGGUACGAGCACCCAAUCGCCGGCACCGGCGUCGUGGCGGCCGUUGGCACCGGGCGCCCGCCCUUCGUCGCGCUGCGCGCCGACAUGGACGCGCUCCCGCUGCAGGAGGAAGUGGAGUGGGAGCACCGGAGCAAGGUGGGCGGGAAGAUGCACGCCUGCGGCCACGACGCGCACACGGCGAUGCUGCUCGGCGCCGCCAGGAUCCUCCACGAGCACCGCCACGUCCUGCAGGGGACGGUGAUCCUUCUUUUCCAGCCGGCAGAGGAGGUGGGCACCGGGGCCAAGAAGAUGGUGGAGGCUGGCGUCGUGAACAACGUCGAGGCCAUCUUCGGGUUCCACGUCACGGUGAUCCUCCCCACCGGCGUGGUUGGGUCGAGGGCCGGCCCGCUGCUAGCCGGAUGCGGCUUCUUCGAGGCGGUGAUCACCGGGAAGGGCGGCCACGCCGCCAUCCCCCAGAGCAGCGUGGACCCCGUCGUGGCCGCCUCCAGCGUCGUCCUCGCCCUCCAGAACCUCGUCUCCCGGGAGGCCGACCCCCUGGACUCCCAGGUCGUGACGGUAACGAGGUUCCGGGGAGGCGGCGCGUUCAACGUGAUCCCGGACUCCGUCACGAUCGGCGGCACUUUCCGGUGCUUCUCCAACGACGGGUUCAUGCGGCUGAAGCAGCGGAUCGAGGAGGUGAUCGUGGCGCAGUCGGCGGUGCACCGGUGCGCGGCGGCGGUGGACUUCCACGCCGGCGGGCGGCCCCUGCUGGCCCCGACCAUCAACAGCCCCGCUCUGCACGCGCACUUCGAGGCCGUCGCCACGGACAUGCUCGGCGCCGGCGGCGUCCGGGGCGCCAUGGAGCCGUGCAUGGGGAGCGAGGACUUCGCCGCCUUCUCCGAGGCCGUGCCGGGCUCCCACUUCUACUUCAUCGGGAUACGGAACGAGGCGGCCGGGUCGGUGCACGACGCGCACUCGCCGCACUUCCUCGUCGACGAAGGCGCGCUCCCCUACGGCGCGGCAAUGCACGCCAGCCUCGCCAUGGCGUACCUGCAGCGCCAGCACGGGCGCGUGGACUCGCACGAGGAGCUGUAG
rnacentral:rRNA from 1 species